CCCUUAGAUGUCCUGGGCCGCACGCGCGCUACACUGACGCAUUCAACAAGCCUAGCCUUGACCGAGAGGUCCGGGUAAUCUUUGAAACUGCAUCGUGAUGGGGCUAGAUUAUUGCAAUUAUUAAUCUUCAACGAGGAAUGCCUAGUAAGCGUGAUUCAUCAAAUCGCGUUGAUUACGUCCCUGCCCUUUGUACACACCGCCCGUCGCUCCUACCGAUUGAAUGUGUUGGUGAGGAGCUCGGAUUGGCAGCAGUUGGUGGUUCGCCACCGGCUAUUGCUGAGAAGUCCUCCAAACCGCCCCAUUUAGAGGAAGGAGAAGUCGUAACA
rnacentral:rRNA from 1 species